GAUGAACGCUGGCGGCGUGCUUAACACAUGCAAGUCGAACGAAGCACUUUAUUUGAUUUCCUUCGGGACUGAUUAUUUUGUGACUGAGUGGCGGACGGGUGAGUAACGCGUGGGUAACCUGCCUUGUACAGGGGGAUAACAGUUGGAAACGGCUGCUAAUACCGCAUAAGCGCACAGCAUCGCAUGAUGCAGUGUGAAAAACUCCGGUGGUAUAAGAUGGACCCGCGUUGGAUUAGCUAGUUGGUGAGGUAACGGCCCACCAAGGCGACGAUCCAUAGCCGACCUGAGAGGGUGACCGGCCACAUUGGGACUGAGACACGGCCCAAACUCCUAGGGGAGGCAGCAGUGGGGAAUAUUGCACAAUGGGCGAAAGCCUGAUGCAGCGACGCCGCGUGAGCGAAGAAGUAUUUCGGUAAGUAAAGCUCUAUCAGCAGGGAAGAUAAUGACGGUACCUGACGAAGAAGCACCGGCUAAAUACGUG
rnacentral:rRNA from 1 species